rnacentral:rRNA from 1 species
CAUGCAGUCGAGGGGCAUCACAUGAAGCAGCAAUGCGGAUGGUGGCGACCGGCGCACGGGUGAGUAACACGUAUGCAACCUACCUUCAACUGGAGGAUAACCCGUUGAAAGACGGACUAAUACUCCAUAACACAGGGGUCCCGCAUGGGGAUAUUUGUUAAAGAUUAAUCGGUUGAAGAUGGGCAUGCGUUCCAUUAGCUGGUUGGCGGGGUAACGGCCCACCAAGGCAACGAUGGAUAGGGGAACUGAGAGGUUUAUCCCCCACACUGGAACUGAGACACGGUCCAGACUCCUACGGGAGGCAGCAGUGAGGAAUAUUGGUCAAUGGGGGCAACCCUGAACCAGCCAAGUCGCGUGAAGGAUGAAGGUCUUAUGGAUUGUAAACUUCUUUUAUACGGGAAUAAAGUGGGGGACGUGUCCCCCUUUGCAUGUACCGUAUGAAUAAGGAUCGGCUAACUCCGUGCCAGCAGCCGCGGUAAUACGGAGGAUCCGAGCGUUAUCCGGAUUUAUUGGGUUUAAAGGGUGCGCAGGCGGGAUGUUAAGUCGGCGGUGAAAUUUUGCAGCUCAACUGUAAAAGUGCCUUCGAUACUGGCCUCCUUGAGUGUGGAUGAAGUAGGCGGAAUUUGUGGUGUAGCGGUGAAAUGCUUAGAUAUCACGAGGAACUCCGAUUGCGCAGGCAGCUUACUAAACCACAACUGACGCUCAUGCACGAAGGCGUGGGGAUCAAACAGGAUUAGAUACCCUGGUAGUCCACGCAGUAAACGAUGAUUACUAGUUGUUUGCGAUACAAUGUAAGCGACUGAGCGA